rnacentral:rRNA from 1 species
GACGAACGCUGGCGGCGUGCUUAACACAUGCAAGUCGAACGGUGAAGCGCCUUCCUUUUUGGUGGGUGUGGAUGAUUGGCGAACGGGUGAGUAACACGUGAGUAACCUGCCCCCUUCUUCUGGAUAACCGCAUGAAAGUGUGGCUAAUACGGGAUAUUCUGGGUCUGUCGCAUGAUGGGUCUGGGAAAGAUAUUGUUUCGGUGGGGGAUGGGCUCGCGGCCUAUCAGCUUGUUGGUGGGGUGAUGGCCUACCAAGGCGGUGACGGGUAGCCGGCCUGAGAGGGUGGACGGUCACACUGGGACUGAGACACGGCCCAGACUCCUACGGGAGGCAGCAGUGGGGAAUAUUGCACAAUGGGCGCAAGCCUGAUGCAGCGACGCCGCGUGAGGGAUGGAGGCCUUCGGGUUGUGAACCUCUUUCGCCAGUGAAGCAGGCCUGCCUCGUUUGUGGGUGGGUUGACGGUAGCUGGAUAAGAAGCGCCGGCUAACUACGUG